rnacentral:rRNA from 1 species
CCCUUAGACACUCUGGGCGGCACGCGCGCUACAAUGGGUGGAAGAACGUGUUACUGCCUCCGAAAGGAGGGGUGAAUCACGAAUUCUUGCCCGUGAAUGGGAUAGUUUGUUGCAAUUUUCGGACUUGAACUAGGAAUCCCUUGUAAACAUGCUCAAGAAUAGCGUGUUGAAUACGUCCCUGCCGUUUGUACACACCGCCCGUCGUUUCUUCCGACUGAUACUCAUUGUGAGUUGCAAGGACCCUUUAUUGGGAAAUUGCUGCAAAUGCUUUGUAUUGGAGGAAGAAAAAGUCGUAACA